GGAGGGGGGUAACAUCAUUCAAAGUCUGAUUAUGACAGGCUAAUGAAAAAUCAUAUUGAUUUCUCUUUUAUCCAAAUGCAUGUAUUUUAUAUACACUUAGUAGCUUAUGACCAUAAAUUACAUGUGAUCCAUACAUGCUGGUACUUGUAUGCUAUGAGCUAAUGGGCACGUGUCCCCUUAUUGCCGGCCUCCUCCGUGGCCGAGUGGUUAGAGUAUCGUGCUCAAAAUCACACGGCCUCUCACCUCUCUAGGCGCGGGUUCGAAUCCCGUUCGCGCCGGUAAGUGAGAAAGUUUUCCCAGUUUACUUACGAAAGGUCGGUGGUCUCUCCCGAGGUAUCUGAGUUCUCUCUUCCACCAAUAAAAAAACUGGGUGCCACCAGAUAACUGAAUUCAAUUCUACUUUUAUAUCUGGGGUCAUUCACUUUCCCUCAGAGUUUCAGUAUUUUCGCUGGACCUUGUCGGUUUUAACCUGAAUUUCUUCAGUAUUUGCCCUCAUGUAUAUGCUAGGCAUAAUGCAGACACCUACAUGAUACAUAUAUUUUUUUUCAUUACCCACUCUGCUACUCUCGCAAUGUAUAAUAAAAUAUUCGAUUCAUUUCUAACACAUGUAUGCAAUCCCUUACCUUAUCUUUAAAUAAAUUUGAGUAAAUAAAUUUAAGUGCGAAACUGUUCCAUGCUACCGUGAAACUUAUAUUUUGCUUUUUAAACAUAAACCAACAAUUUUUAAUUGUAAUUUCUUUUCUUCUUUAAAAAGGGUAUUGACAUCCCAAUAUUUAGUGGGAAGUUCCCAGGUAUCAUCCGCUAGCGACAGUCUACUGGCAAAUCCAGACAUGCAUUGGAAGGAUGCUGAUGUGGAGGACACAGGGACACCUGAUCCAAGAACUGUGGCAUUUCAUUCGGGGUGACAACCUGGCUUUCAGUUGAUAUGGGACCCUAUUACGGUAUUCGGAGAACUGCAGAUUUUAUGAAGCUGUCUUUGACAGAAGAUUUGGUUUUCUCCAUUUGUGUUGCCACCAACCAUUAUGCUGAGAUGGUCAAAUGUAGGGGGAAGGGUUGCCAUAUACUUCCCUAGGAAGUUUGCAGCCUCUCACUGAAGAGGAACUGUACAGGUAUUACUAGUUUUAAAAACCAAUAUUGUGGCAGUGAUUUCCAGUUUAAAAAGAAUAAUAAAA